GAGUUUGAUCCUGGCUCAGAACGAACGCUGGCGGCGUGCCUAACACAUGCAAGUCGAACGUGAUCCAGAGCUUGCUCUGGUGAAAGUGGCGCACGGGUGAGUAACGCGUGGAUAACCUACCCUGGUAUCCGGGAUAACAUUCCGAAAGGGGUGCUAAUACCGGAUAAGCCCACGGGCUCUUUGGAGCUUGCGGGAAAAGGUGGCCUCUAUUUAUAAGCUACUGUAUCAGGAUGGGUCCGCGUACCAUUAGCUAGUUGGCGGUGUAACGGACCACCAAGGCGACGAUGGUUAGCUGGUCUGAGAGGAUGAUCAGCCACACUGGAACUGAGACMCGGUCCAGACUCCUACGGGAGGCAGCAGUGGGGUAUUUUGCGCAAUGGGGGAAACCCUGACGCAGCAACGCCGCGUGAGUGAUGAAGGCCUUUGGGUCGUAAAGCUCUGUCGGAGGGGAAGAAAUGAUAUAGUGCUAAUACCACUCUAUCUUGACGGUACCCUCAAAGGAAGCACCGGCUAACUCCGUGCCAGCAGCCGCGGUAAUAC
rnacentral:rRNA from 1 species